rnacentral:rRNA from 1 species
CGUGAAAGCGUCUUCGGACGUAAGUAAAGUGGCGAACGGGUGCGUAACGCGUGGGAAUCUGCCCUUUUGUGAAGGAUACCUUGGAGAAAUCUAAGUUAAUGCUGCAUAAUCCGGAAACGGGAAAGGUGGCCUAUUUGCUACCGCAGAAGGAUGAGCCCGCGUACUAUUAGUUUGUUGGUGAGGUAAGAGCUCACCAAGGCAGAGAUGGUUAGCCGACCUGAGAGGGUGAUCGGCCACAAUGGGACUGAGAUACGGCCCAUACUCCUACGGGAGGCAGCAGUGGGGAAUUUUGCACAAUGGGCGAAAGCCUGAUGCAGCGACGCCGCGUGGAGGAUGAAGGUUUUCGAAUCGUAAACUCCUGUUAAGUGGGAAGAAAGAACGCAGGUUAAUAUCCUGCGGUGAUGACGGUACCACUAGAGAAAGCACCGGCUAACUUCGUGCCAGCAGCCGCGGUAAUACGAGGGGUGCUAGCGUUAUUCGGAAUUACUGGGCGUAAAGAGUGCGUAGGCGGUCUUUUAAGUCUGUUGUUAAAUUACCCGGCCUAACUGGGUGCCAGCAAUAGAUACUGAGAGACUAGAGGAUAAGAGAGAGAGGUAGAAUUCUCGGAGUAGCGGUAAAAUGCGUAGAUCUCGAGAGGAAUACCGAUGGCGAAGGCAGCUUCUUGGCUUAUAUCUGACGCUCAAGCACGAAAGCGUGGGGAGCAAACAGGAUUAGAUACCCUGGUAGUCCACGCCCUAAACGAUGAUCACUAGACGUUGGUCUUGCUUAGCGAGAUCUGUGUCGAAGCUAACGCGUUAAGUGAUCCGCCUGGGGAGUACGGUCGCAAGAUUAAAACUCAAAGAAAUUGACUGGGGUCCGCACAAGCGGUGGAACAUGUGGUUUAAUUCGACAUUACGCGCGGAACCUUACCUGGGCUUGACAUGUAUUUGCUAUCACUAGAAAUAGUGAGUUUCG